rnacentral:rRNA from 1 species
GGCAACGGAUAUCUCGGCUCUCGCAUCGAUGAAGAACGUACCGAAAUGCGAUACUUGGUGUGAAUUGCAGAAUCCCGUGAACCAUCGAGUCUUUGAACGCAAGUUGCGCCCGAAGCCAUCCGGCCGAGGGCACGUCUGCCUGGGCGUCACACGCCGUUGCCCCC